rnacentral:rRNA from 1 species
AGUGAACGCUGGCGGUAGGCCUAACACAUGCAAGUCGAACGGCCGCACAGUAAGCGCUUGCCCUUACGGGUGGCGAGUGGCGGGCGGGUGAGGCAUAGAUCGCCUUCUACUUUUUCGGGGGGGAUAACGUAGGAAAACUUACGCUAAUAGCGCAUACGACCUACGGGUGAAUGCAGGAGAUCUUCGGACCUUGCGCGAUUCAAUGAGCCGAUGUCGCAUUAGCUAGUUGGCUGGGUAAGGGCCCACCAAGGCAACGAUGCGUAGCGGACCUGAGAGGAUGAUCAGCCACACUGGAACUGAGACACGGUCCAGACUCCUACGGGAGGCAGCAGUGGGGAAUCUUGGACAAUGGGCGAAAGCCUGACGCAGCCACGCCGCGUGAGUGAAGAAGGUCUUCGGGUCGUAAAACCCUGUUGUUGGGAAAGAAAAGCAGUAGGUUUAUCCCUGGCUGUUCUGACGGUACCCAAAGAAAAAGCACCGGCUAACUUCGUG